GCGAGAAUAUUCGACAAUGGACGAAAGUCUGAUCGAGCGACGCCGCGUGUACGAUGAAGUUUUUCGGAAUGUAAAGUACUUUUAUGAGGGAAGAACGUUGACGGUACCUCAUGAAUAAGGGGCUCCUAACUCUGUGCCAGCAGGAGCGGUAAUACAGAGGUCCCAAGCGUUAUCCGGAAUCACUGGGCGUAAAGGGUGUCGAGGCGGUUGUAUUAGUCGUUCGUAAAAUCUACGAGCUUAACUUGUAGGCGGCGAACGAAACGGUACGACUUGAGGUUUGGAGAGGUGCGUGGAACUCACGGUGUAGGGGUGAAAUCCGUUGAUAUCGUGGGGAACACCAAAGGCGAAGGCAGCGCACUGGCCAAAAUCUGACGCUCACACACGAAAGCUAGGGUAGCGAAGAGGAUUAGAUACCCUCGUAGUGCCUGAGCGGGCUGGCAAGGCGCAU
rnacentral:rRNA from 1 species